AGAUCUCCUGGAGAGGUCUCUGCGCCACCAGUCCACCGUGGGGUUCUCAGAAGCCGUUUGAUACGAAGACUGUUCUUGUCGCAGCAGUGGCGUUACAGUCUAACUGCUCGUCCACCAGGUGGCGCUGGAGAACCUGAUCGUGGAUUUGCUUCAAGGUUGACUUUCUGCAAAGACAGACUUGAUGAAUCCAAGUCCUUAGCCUUGUUGGUGGUAGAAACAUUGCAUCAUGAUCAACUUCUGUCCAACAUGUUGAGAGGUCGGCUUCCAGUCCAAGUGCCAUCGGGGACUCUGCCACCAAAAUCCUGGACCUGCUGGGCAAAGAGACUAGUUCGACAUGACUGUGGAGAAGGACUCCCGGAGAAGUCUCUGUGCCACCAGUCCAUUCUGAAGGCUUCAGUCUUUGAUACAAAGACGGUUCUUGUCCCAGUACUUGUUACAAGCAGAAGGUUCCUGUCUACCUGAGAUGAUUUUCCACCAAGGUCCUUGCUUGUCUUUUGUCUGCAGUCACAACAGCCUCUUGUUUUAAGUCAUUGGGAGCUGAGGAACAUUAUGGUGGUAUUUAAAAUAAAAAAACAAAAUAGCUGACAUGAGAAAUUCAGCAGUUUAACAACUUUCUCUUCUGCAGUUGUAUGCAGAUACGCUGCAACAAAGACCCUCAAGUUCUUUAACUUCUUGGUCCUGGACACUUGCAUGUUCUUCAUGCUCACGUCCACCAGGUGGCGCUGAAGGAUCCCUUGAGAACCUGAUCAUCUCCAGAAGUAAAUUUCAGUCAAGGUUGGAACCUUUUGCUAAGACAGACUUGAUGAAUCCAAAUACUUGGUUUCUUGUUGUUGUAGGUGGUGGAAACAUGGCGUCAUGGUCAACUUUCUGUCCAACAUGUUGAGGUGACGUAAGCUACAAAACAAGCUCAGCAAAUUUAAGUUUGAAGUGCCAUCGCCUGCUUUUUCCUUUGACUCCACAUGCAGGUCAGCUUCCACUCCAAGUGCCAUCGGGAACUCAGCCAGCAAGAUCCUCGACCUGCUGGGCAAAGAGACGAGUUCGACAUGAACGUGCAGAAGGUCCUCAACGCUGCCUUCAUCUUGGUUGAUGCCUUGCUAAUGAAUUUAUUAAACAGCAGCUUGACUGGUUCCCUGUUCAUCUCUUGUUGUGUUCAGGUCUUCAGUUUGAAACUCAGACGAUUCCUCAUGUCGUCACGCUCAAACAGCUUCUGCCGAAGGUUACGGAACUUGAGUCUGUGUCCACUUGCAUGUUCUUUGUCAUUCAGGUGGUCGUGCAGAUGGAGCCAUCAGUCCUACAAGUGCUGAAGCCAAAUUUUGGAACAGCCUGAGAAGUGGGAGACCUUGACCCCUGGACGGUACGCCCUUUGCAAUGUCUUCAUUCCACAAUUGGGUCUUCUUGGAUCCAGUUUUCCCCCCCCCCUUCCAGAGUUGCUGAGGAAUACGCAGCUGUGCGAGUGCUCUAAGGCCCAGAAAACAAGUCGCCUGUCUUCCUCGCUGGUGCGCACACCAGUCCACGCUCUCGUCACACUGGCCGACCACGCAGCGAUGAGGAGACGGUUGCUGAUGUCAUCAGACUUCAACUUGGUUUCCUUUGUGAUUUCAUGUCUGUU